GUAAAUAUGGAUUGCAACUAGUAUAUUUCCUUUUUUUCAAUCAUUUUAUUCCCUCGAGUAUCUGCCUGCUUGUCACUAUCCUAUGCUUUCAAAUAACUAUUUUAUAUGUCUUGUUUGACAUUUAUGAUUGUUAGUAGCAGAAAUGUUAGUAUAAUAAAAUCUGUGCCAACACUAUUCAAGGCAAGAUGUCCUUAGGAAAACUUUAAAAAUAAAUUCCUGAAAUAUAAAACUUAAGCAAAAAUAAAAUACAUAUAUUACACACACACACACACACACACACACACACAAAUAUAUUUAUAUAUAAAUUAGCUGGGUGUGGUGGUGCACGCCUGUAAUCCCAGCUACUCUGGAGGCUGAGGCAAGAGAAUCACUUGAACUGGGGAAGCACAGUUUGCAGUGUGCUGAGAUUGUGCCACUGCACUCCUGCCUGAGCAACAGGCAACAGAGGAAGACCACAUCUAAAAAAAACACACACACAAACACACACAUCAUGGGACAUUUUUGCAAAUCCUUUAAGUUCACCAGCUAUCACUAGCAUUAGUGUUUUUAGGUGUGGCCCAAGACAACUCUUCAUCUUCCACUGUGGCCCAGGGAAGCUAAAAGAUUGGACUUCCCUGGAGUAGAUGGUUUAUAAGGCCUGUUUUAACCUCAAAGUGCUUGGAUUCUACUCUCUUGGUCCCAGCCGCUGAACAACCAUCUCAGUUCAGACUCCACCCCACGGUGUGGUCUGAUAAUGACCUUGAUGAGGACCAAUGACAUGGCUGGUCCUCACACAUUGGCCUGAUAACAUUUAUCGGCCUCUGAGGAGUGGUGUAAGAAGCUUAUAUUUGAUCAAAGUGCUGCCUUGAACUCUGACUUUGAAGAGAACUGCUGGACUGAAACAUUCACAGUGAGUCAACAAACCCUUCCUUCCUUCUGCCAACCUCAUCUUCAUCCGCUUCAAGGUCGGCCUGGCCCCAGGCCAUGUCUGGACAAGGUCUUGUCCAUGACUGCCAGCCUCUGGUAGCAGAGAAGCUUACUUGUCCUGGUCAAUUCCUAAGUAACCUAUAUUUUUCUUGGUUUCCUACAGACUGUAAUCCCCCUGCCUUCUAUCAAGGUGAAAUGUUAACAAGUUUAAAUAUCCAGCGGUGCUCUUCCUUCCUUGGAUGAAACUUUCUAAGCUCUAUCACUUGUUUAUAGGUCUGGAGAAAUACAAUGAUCCUGAAGAAAACCUGAGCUUAUGUGAAGCAACUUUGUUUUCCUUUGACAAACUCCCAUUUCCAACACCAGAAUCCAACUGCAAGGAAAUGAAGCAUAAACAGCUGAAUUUAGAAAUCUUCUAAUUCUGAUUUUUUUAUUUUUGUUUUUGAGACAAAGUCUUGUCCUGUGGCCCAGGCUGGAGUGCAAUAGUGUGAUUAUAGCUCACUGCAGCCUCGAACUCCUGGUCUCAAGUGAUCCUCCCACCUCAGCCUCCCAAGUAGCUGGGACUACAGGCAAGAGUCACCAUGCCUAGCUACUUUUUUUUAUUUUUGUAAAGAUGGAAUCUUGCUAUGUUGCCCAGGCUGGUCUCCAACUCCUGGCCUAAACAAUCCUCCCACCUUAGCUUCCCAAAGUGCUGGAAUUAUAGACAUAAGCCACCAUUCCCAGCCUAAUUCAUAUUUUUAAGCAGGAAGCAUAGUCUACCUUAUAACUCCUAUGCUCUUCUUCCAAAACCUUUACCCUGUAGUUUAUGAACUGCGAUGAAGGACCAAGUAUAUCUCCAUUCUAACAGCACAUUAUAAUGUCCACACAAUAUAUAAAUAAAAGAAAAGCAGGCCGGUCACGGUGGCUCACACCUGUAAUUCCAGCACUUUCAGAAGCCAAAGUGGGUGGAUCACUUGAGGCCAGGAGUUGAAGACCAGCCUGGCCAAAAUGGUGAAACCCCGUCUCUACUAAAAAUAUAAAAAUUAGCCAAGUGAUGGUGGCACAUGCCUGUAAUUCCAGCUACUUGGGAGGCUGAGGCAGGAGAAUCACUUGAACCUGGGAGGCAGAGGUUGCAGUGAGCCAAGAUCAUGCCACUGCACUCCAGCCUGGACAACAGAGCGAGACUCCAUCUCAAAAAAAAUAAAAAGAAAAAAAGAAAGGCAAUGUGGUACCAUGCCUUAGGAUCGUACAUACGUCACCCAACUCGCUUACCUACUGUAAUGGACGUUUGUUGCUCUUGCUUGUACGGCACUCUUUUUCUAGAUCUUCCUUUGGACAACCGCCUCCUCCCUGCCUUCAUUCCUGUGGUUUGGUGAAGCUGACACUUCUCCCAGCUAUAGGGAGGGGCGUGAGCCACAGGCCAAAGUCAAUCAGUGCAUUCCAUCCACCAGCCCAGAGACUGAAUCAGCAAAGGUCCCAGAGCUCCACUUGGGCCAAUGGCAGUCAGGCCAAGGACUUUGUGGAACUGUUGCUCAGAGGACAGGUACUCACCUUGCACUGAAACUGGAGUGAUGGGAGUAUGAACCUGGGGCUACUAACAGCCAUCUUGCCCCAGAAGGAAGUACUUCCCUAAGUUUAAUGCCUACCCAGAGGAGGGCAGAGCAGAUAGACAAGAGACAGGGUUCUGGGGUCAACUGUGUCUGAAGUCAGAGACAUGAAAUAAAUUUCGUUUUUUGCUCAGCCCCUUGGAACACAGCAGUAGCUUUACACAAUGCUAUCUGCCCCUUGCAACAAAGCAGUAAUUUCACUACUUGAGGGAUGGAAAAGAUGUACCAUAAAAGACACAGAGGCGAUAGACAAAAGGGAAGUAAGAUUCAGGUCUUGCACAGAAACUGAGCCUUGAUUUUCCGCAGAAUAUACUGUGACCAAGCCUCCUGCAGGGCUGCCUGUACGUUAAAGAAAUGGAAGCGUCUUGAAUCGUGUCCAUCGUCCCUCCUUUACACAAAGUAAUCACCUCCAGCUGGGCCAAGUUGAUUGAGGAAACGUUCAGUUUUCACAUGAUUUUGCUGUAGCACCAUAAUGAAUGUAUUUCUUUGAUGGAAGAAAGAAGCUUCAUGAAAUAAACUGCUUAAGGAUUUGAAGUUGGAGCUGAAAACAUGGGCUGCUUUGUUCUUAAUGACAACUGCUUUGCCAUCUAAAACAUUUCUCCUUUUUGAAGGAUCUGUCUUUUCUCUUCCAGCCACAACCCUCGAGCUACAAUAACAGGCUCAUGAUUUUUUUAGAUGCCAAGGUUAUGAAUACUCUUUUAUGAAUAUUUUCCUUUGAACUCAUUUCUCUUGAAGAAGAAAAAUAGCCCUACAUAUUGCAGGAUUGACAAUAACAGACAAAACGUACAAAUUGUUCUCUUAGGGGCAGUAAAAUGCUCCAAAAUGCACAUAGAAAAAUUCCAAAUGCAACCUGAUGUUUAUGGAGCACUGCCUUUGCAGCUAUAAUUUUUAGAAAGUAAUAUUUCUGACUGACAUGAAUUAUACAGAGCAUAUUUCAGAGACUAAUAUCAGGUUAAUGCCUUAAAAUGUCUCCGUUUAUGACAUCAUGGCUGCUUUUCCUAUAUCAGUGCAAACUCUUAGUGAGUAGAAUUUGAGGAUAUGUCUUUUCAAAGGAAGAAAACCUUCACUGAAUUAAGCUGCUUAUGGUUUUAUUUUUUCUUUUAUCCCAUUUCAACAUAUCCACCAACCUCCUCUAAAAAUAAUUCAACUAAUGUGAACUCAACAGAUUAUAGUAGAUCUCUUAUUAAUUUCAUUUUGCCUCCAAAGGAGCUUAUCAUUUAGGCUUAUAAUUAUGUAUGCAGUACUGUCGACUAAUGUUUAGGUUCCUCAUUAAAACUUCAUUUCAUUCUGUUUUAAUAUCAUCAGUCUGUUAGACCAUUUAUUUUCUCAUGUUAAAAAAUAUGUGUUUUCCCUGAACUCUUUCCAUAUGUUUUCUCUCAUCCAAAAAAUCCAGAAAACUCAGCUCCCUUUAAUCCUGCUUUGUGGCUUAGAUACUUUAGCCUGGAACCACUCGUGUUGAUUUGUAUAUACCCACACUUACGCAAAAAUAGCCUUCACUACGGCAGAGUAAUCAUUCUGCAUAGAAAUUAUGUGUCUCUGAAGCCUAUGUUGUCAGGUGAAUCGUGGCAGCAAUGACCUAAGAAUGCAUCCCCAGUUUGAAAUGACCUAUAAAAAUUUCAAGAUACAACUAUUGCUUUGCAUUUGGCAUCGGGAAUAUUCUGUAUAGUUCUUUUCAUGUAAAUGGGCAAUAUUCUAGAAUGGUUCCCAAGUAUAAGCUUUAGAGCUAGACUUCUUGGGUACAACUCCCACUAUUACCACUUACUAGUUAUGUAAUAUUGGAAAAUACACUUAACUACUCUGAGCAUCAUAAAGUAAGCUUACUAACA
rnacentral:lncRNA from 10 species